ACCAAAUACAAAAAAAAUCCAGAUCUUCGAUGCGAUAGCUACUCUCUCCAAUAUUCUGGAGUGUUAAGAGAAUGGUAAAGAGUAUUGGGAUCGCCAUCUGGGUACAUAUAAACCUUGAAUUCCCACUCCCAUCUCUGGAACAAGGUUGAGAGCGCUAUGCCUGCAUGUGAGGAACUGCCUGUUCUUGAAAGAAACUGAUCUUCUAAGAUGUGGCUUGUAAAUCCAGCUCAAUCGGUGAUUAAUGGCGUCGAUUAAUGGGAUCAAGGAGGCACCAUUCAACUUAAUUAGUGUCAAAUUCGAAGAAUCUUGAUAGCCCAGCUGAUAUUUGCACAAUUACAGAGUGAAACGCGAGAAUGCAGAUAGUUCUGGGUGAUAGAUUACUAGCGAAGAAGCAAUUCCAAUGCCUACCUGUGGCUUCUGAUGCUGGAGCUAAAGAAGCUGCUUUGGUGGUAGUGAACUCAAAGAGAAACAGUAAUAUGUUGUACCAAAGAAUGCUCUGUAACACAACAAUCUGGGCAAGAAGCACAUCUGCUUCAGUGCCGUACAUGGCUUUCAAUACUGGGAGUCCAAGAAUUAGAGUAUUUGGCAUGGUUGACAGAGAGAGACCAGUGAUAAUCCAAUGCAAGCCUCCCCGAGAGGUGAUUUUAGUGAUAGCUCCCAGCAAAACAAUAGCCAAUAUUUUCUGAAGGAAAUCGGCCAAUAUCAGUUGCAGGUUCAUUUUGUAGAGGUUGUUGUCUGAAAUGACUUGAAAUGAUAACAGUGGGAUUGAGAAUUUUGCCACAAACUUGUUUAUUCCAGAACAUUGCUCAGCUGUGAAGAACUUCCACCAUUUUACAGAGAUGUAAGCUAACAUCAUGGCUACGUACAGAGGGACUGUGGCUGCCACAACAUGAUAGACAUCAGACAACGAAAUCAUGGUGACCAGCAGAAGAAGUGGGAAGAAGGAAUAAAGAACUGAAUUGCAAGUGAAGUAAUGGGAAUAACAGUAGCAGAGUUCAAUGCAGUUGUAAGAUAAGAAUUUUUCCUAAAUAUGGUCAAAAGUGUGAGAAUAACUGUGAAGGGAAGGAAUUGAACCUACUGUCUCUAUAGUUUUCUUUACAGUAAAGAACUGAGAAACUGGAAGAAGCCAUUGAAAAUUGAUGACAUCAGCUUGCUGCUUUUUAGAAGAAUGAUGCCAAAACCUUGACAUGACUUGGCUGAUUUACAACUUGAAUUGGAAGGGAAGAAUGAGUUCUUACUUUCCCUUUAAGAUCAUUUCCAUAGGUUUGUAGCUAAGUUUGGUUAAAUUAUAUUUUUACUCGUACGUUUGCUUUAACCUCUUGAUAAAGAUAAUUUAUUUUGAGGUAAAUUUUUCCGUUUCAAAUUCUAUCGACUUAUUUAUGAUAUGAAUGGAAUAGAUCAACGAUAUUUUGUU